CUGCAAACUACAAUACGGUUUGCAGUAAACCUUUGUUCUUAAAUUGUGGUCUGUGAUUUGGAGACGAAGAAAGUGAUUUUGUAUGUGCUGAAUACAUGAGGCAGGCCAAACAACUUGUUUUGUGUGUAAAUACGAUUAAAACCAUCCUAUGAUAUAGUGUGUGCACUGUUACAUAUCUUUGUACAGUCAAAUGAACACUAAUAAAUUAUGAAUGC
rnacentral:misc_RNA from 1 species